UCUUUGGAAGACAUAUUAAGAUCUUUUUGAUGAAAUCUGAGAGCUUUGUGUCCCUCCAUAGACAGCCUACAUGACUGACACUUCGACGCUUCAAAGGUCUUAGGGGUUUGGAAUGACUUGAGGGUUCCAAAGAACACUCCACUUUCCGAGCAUUUGGUUCUGUCAUAUUUGCACAUAAAAGCUGACCAUGACCACCGUAAAUGCCCCCGUGUGUCUGCUCGCUCGGAAUGAGUUUUAUCGGAGUAUCUACCCAACAGACAAAAUGAAGGCAGUUAAUAGUCUUUCUGAUAACUUAAUGGAACCAAAGCAAAGACAAGUGACUGUCUGGUUGACCAAAUCCAAACUCCAAGAUUUUUCAGGACCUAUGAACAAUCGCUGGACAAUAAAUGUGGUUUCAAGGAGCCAGACAUCCAGCGAAACCUCUUCCAAACGUCCUGCUGAUUGUGUGGUCAAGUAGAUGCCUGCACAAAAAUAGUGCUGGAAAACUGAAAAGUGUGCUUCUCUACAGACACAAUAUUUAAAAUUAAAUAUGCUGCUCCGGUGAUUAAUACCUAGAUUUUUUUGCAUUGUCUACAGAUCUAGAAAACUUGCAUGUUAGAAAAGGAAAAAUUAGUUUGUUUAUAUGCUACCAUUCAGAAGUUUGUGGUUAAUAAGUCCCUUAUGCUCACCAAGGCUGCAUUUAUUUGAUAAAAAUACAGUAAAAAUUGUGAAAUAGUAUUACAAUUUAAAAUAACCAUUUUUUUGUUUGAAUAUAUUUUAAAAUGUAAUUUAUUCCUGUGAUGCAAAGCUGAAUUUUCAGCAUCAUUACUCCAGUCUUCAGUGUCACAUGAUCCUUCAGAAAUCAUUCUAAUAUGCUGAUUUGAUGCUCAAUUAAACAUUUCUUAUUAUUAUCAGCGUUAAAAACAGUUAGAAAGAUUGAUUUGAAAUUGAAAUCUUUUGUAACAUUAUAAAUGUCUUUACAGUCAAUCGAUUUUAAGCAUACUUGCUGAAUAAAAAACCCUUUUUUUUCUUUAAACAAAUGUCUUACUGACCCCAAACUUUAUACUCUACUGUAAUAUCCAUUUAGUCAUGUAUUCCAUUUACUCUGCUUACUUUACACAAAGCAUAGGCAUUUUUAUUUUAUAUUAUUCUAUUUAUUUAUUUACUUAUUUUGCAUGCGCAUUAGCUGGACCAACCUGCAAAUAUGACGUGAUUUGAGAUAAAGAAUAAUUUAUAAUAUUGUUCUUAGUUUUAGAGAUCUUGCUCUUUCAUCAUUGAAAUACAUAGGAACUGUAUCUAUUGCCUAAACAGAAAAUAGCCAAUAUGCAAUUGAGUGAACUGAUUUGUCUUUAAUGGGUAUCCAUCUAUUCUGCACUAAAUAAAAAGUAAAUUAAAUUUAUUUUUAUUUUCCCAAUAAACUACCAAUCACAGCACCUGUCACAAUCUCUUAGUUGGGACCUGUUGCUGCGAACAAAGGAGAAAUGAUGCCUGAAAAAGAACAGAGUCAGCAUGCCACAAAGAGGCUUUUCCAUGUAUCUAGCCAACCAUCAGAACUUACUGACCUGGAAAAUCCAUGUACACAUGCAAACAAAGCUGUACAACGUCAUCUCUACCAAGCAAUUUUCCAUAUUCACUGUUUGGUCUACCACCCACACUGCUUAUUUUGAAGUCCACAGGCACUCUGUCCUAUUCUUUUUGGCUUACAUAAACCAUGUUCAAGUAUGAAGUAGAUGUUUUCUAUUCAGAAAGCAAUAGUUUAGUAAAAUGUCUUUAAAAUGCUUUAUUUUCUACUCAAAAGCACUUCAAACCUAUUUUUAGUUCCUGGACCUGCAGCACACCCUGUUCAAAAGGAUACUGAGCUCAAUGCAUUUUUUUGAAUAAAAUUUUUUUUCCAAAAACAUUGUAGUUAACUUGGCUUUUUUAAAAAUUCUUGGAUCAUUUCUAUAUGAGGGGAACCGACAUUUCGCUCAAGAGCAGUUCUUCAUGGUUAUGGCAUUUUGUCUCCCUCAGUUACUAUCAAAGAGUCUGUUUGUCCAAAUUUAGCUUCAGCAUGCUUGUUACGUAAUCUAAUCAUUCUUUUAUAUGAAAUGAACAAAUGCAGGAUGCCUUUCCUCCACACUGCACAUUUAGAAAUCAUUUAAUACAGCUGUAAUACACACAGACACAAUUCCCAAUAAAUGUCAUAUCAAAAUAACUAUGUGCAAAGGAAAUGGACAAUGAAUGUGGUGUCCCUCCUCAAGACCUCAUUAUAUUUCUCAUCUUUUAGCAUUCAAUUAUUUAUGACUGCACUUAAUCUGAAAUAUGUCUUCCAGUAAACUAGUAAAUGCAUAGCAAAGUAUUUUUGAAAGGUCUUUUCCCUUAACUGUAAAAGGGAGAUGGUGUACAGUUCAUUCAUUAUUAAAGACAAAAAAAAAAAAAAAAAAAAGAA